rnacentral:lncRNA from 1 species
UUUCGGGAUGGACAGUAUCUUACACUGAAGGAAGUUUUUGAAAGUUUAGACUUGACAGGGUUUGCGUCAAAAGAGAAAAACAGAAGUAGUUGGAUAUAAAAAUAUACUUUAACUGCACGCAUGCAUAUGUAAUAUCUGCUUCUUUCUGUAUAUGAGCAUAUAUUGUCCUUCUUCGAUGUGAUUUUGGUACUUAUAAGAUAUGUUCUUUAUUUUCAAAAUAUUGUCUUAUGUAGGGCGCUUCUUGAGUUGUAAUUCUGUAUUCAAGAACCACUGUUUGGGACAGCAUUUAGCAACAGCUUUCUGCAUUGUAUGCUCA